UGUUUUWCAAAAACAUCUCUUCUUGUUAGUUUUUGAGGUAUGGCCUGCCCACUGACUUUGUUGAAGGGCCGCGGUAUUUUGACCGUGCAAAGGUAGCAUAAUCAUUAGUUCUUUAAUUGUGAUCUGGUAUGAAUGGCUUGACGAGAUAUGAGCUGUCUUUGAGGUAUUUUUAAUUGAAUUUGGUUUUUGAGUUAAAAUUCUUAAAUGUUUUUAUGGGACGAGAAGACCCUAUAGAGUUUGACAUCUUUUCUGUUUUUGUAUGUUUGUUUUAAUUUUAUUUAAUGGUAAGGUUGUUUUGUUGGGGUGAUGGGAGAUAUUAUUUAACUUCUCUUUGGGUUUGUAUAUUUAUGUAUAAUGGUUUUUGAUCCAUUUAUUUUGAUUAUAAGAUUAAAUUACCUUAGGGAUAACAGCGUUAUCCUCCUUGAGAGUUCUUAUUGGCGGGGGGGUUUGCGACCUCGAUGUUGGAUUAAGAUGAAUUUUUGGUGCAGGAGCUGAAGUGAUUAGGUCUGUUCGACCUUUAAAAUCUUACGUGAUCUGAGU
rnacentral:rRNA from 1 species